rnacentral:rRNA from 1 species
CCUACGGGAGGCAGCAGUGGGGAAUAUUGCACAAUGGGCGAGAGCCUGAUCCAGCAACGCCGCGUGAGCGAUGACGGCCUUCGGGUCGUAAAGCUCUGUCCUCCAGGAAGCUAAUGACGGUACUUGAGGAGGAACCCCCGGCUAACUACGUGCCAGCAGCCGCGGUAAUACGUAGGGGGCUAGCGUUAUCCGGAAUUACUGGGCGUAAUGGGUGCGUAGGUGGUUUCUUAAGUCAGAGGUGAAAGGCUACGGCUCAACCGUAGUAAGCCGUUGAAACUGUUGAACUUGAGUGCAGGAGAGGAGAGUGGAAUUCGUGGUGUAGCGGUGAAAUGCGUAGAUAUUAGGAGGAACACCAGUUGCGAAGGCGGCUUUCUGGACUGUAACUGACACUGAGGCACGAAAGCGUGGGGAGCAAACAGGAUUAGAUACCCUGGUAGUC